rnacentral:miRNA from 1 species
CAAACCACGCUGUGUUGUUAGA